rnacentral:rRNA from 1 species
UGGGGAAUCUUCGGCAAUGGGCGAAAGCCUGACCGAGCCAUGCCGCGUGAGUGAAGAAGGCCCUAGGGUUGUAAAGCUCUUUCAUCAGGGACGAUAAUGACGGUACCUGAAGAAGAAGCCCCGGCUAACUCCGUGCCAGCAGCCGCGGUAAUACGGAGGGGGCUAGCGUUGUUCGGAAUUACUGGGCGUAAAGCGCGCGUAGGCGGCUUGGAAAGUCAGAGGUGAAAGCCCAGGGCUCAACCCUGGAAUUGCCUUUGAAACUUCCUCGCUUGAGUUCGGAAGAGGUGAGCGGAAUUCCUAGUGGAGAGGUGAAAUUCGCAGAGAUUAGGAAGAACACCGGUGGCGAAGGCGGCUCACUGGUCCGUAUCUGACGCUGAGGCGCGAAAGCGUGGGUAGCAAACA